rnacentral:rRNA from 1 species
UACGGAGGGUGCAAGCGUUAUCCGGAUUCACUGGGUUUAAAGGGUGCGUAGGUGGGCAGGUAAGUCAGUGGUGAAAUCUCCGGGCUUAACUCGGAAACUGCCAUUGAUACUAUCUGUCUUGAAUACCGUGGAGGUCAGCGGAAUAUGUCAUGUAGCGGUGAAAUGCUUAGAUAUGACAUAGAACACCAAUUGCGAAGGCAGCUCACUAAACUGUAACUGACGCUGAGGCACGAAAGCGUGGGGAGCAAACAGG